AGAGUUUGAUCAUGGCUCAGGACGAACGCUGGCGGCGCGCCUAAUACAUGCAAGUCGAGCGAGAAGCGGGACUUCGGUCCCGUGGAAAGCGGCGAACGGGUGCGUAACACGUGAGCAACCUGCCCCGAAGACCGGGACAAGCCGGGGAAACUUGGUCUAAUACCGGAUGCCCUCACCGGAUCGCAUGGUCUGGUGAGGAAAUGGAUUCCGCUUCGGGAUGGGCUCGCGGUCUAUCAGCUUGUUGGUGGGGUAACGGCCUACCAAGGCGACGACGGAUAGCUGGUCUGAGAGGACGAUCAGCCACACUGGGACUGAGACACGGCCCAGACUCCUACGGGAGGCAGCAGUAGGGAAUCUUGCGCAAUGGGGGAAACCCUGACGCAGCGACGCCGCGUGCGGGAUGAAGGCCUUCGGGUUGUAAACCGCUUUCAGCAGGGACGAAAUUGACGGUACCUGCAGAAGAAGGCCCGGCCAACUACGUGCCAGCAGCCGCGGUAAUACGUAGGGGCCUAGCGUUGUCCGGAAUCAUUGGGCGUAAAGAGCUCGUAGGCGGUUCGGCAAGUCACGUGUGAAAUCUCCACGCUUAACGUGGAGGCGCCACGUGAAACUGCCGUGACUCGAGUCCGGUAGGGGAGUGUGGAAUUCCCGGUGUAGCGGUGAAAUGCGCAGAUAUCGGGAGGAACACCAGUAGCGAAGGCGGCACUCUGGGCCGGUACUGACGCUGAGGAGCGAAAGCGUGGGGAGCGAACAGGAUUAGAUACCCUAGUAGUCC
rnacentral:rRNA from 1 species